AACGAACGCUGGCGGCAGGCCUAACACAUGCAAGUCGAGCGCGCCCUUCGUGAUAAGCGGCGGACGGGUGCGUAACGCGUGGGAACGUUCCCUUUUCUACGGAAUAGUCUCGUGAAACUGAGAGUAAUACCGUAUACCCCCUUUGGGGGAAAGAUUUAUCGUAAAAGGAUCGGCCCGCGAUGGAUUAGGUAUUUGGUGUGGGAAUGGCCUACCAAGCCGACGAUCCAUAGCUGGUUUGAGAGAAUGAGCAGCGACACUUGGGAUGAGAAACGGCCCAGACUACUACGGGAUGGGGCAGUGGGUGAUCUUAGAAAAUGGGGGGAACACAGAAGUAGCCAUGCCGCGUGAGUGAUGAAGGUCUUAAGGAGGUACAGCUCUUUAAGCUGCGAAGAUAAUGACGGUACCAACAGAAGAAGCACCGGCUAACUCCGUG
rnacentral:rRNA from 1 species